GAGCAAUGGCAGUAAGAUGUGGAAAAAUUAUUACAUCCCAAUGAAGAAUUUGAAGGCACUGAAGCAGCUUCAAAGUCUUCAAAGGAGAAAGAGGAAAGUUAAAUGAAUAGUGAGCUUCCUGCUGUGGCAGAGAGUACAGGUCUGUUGAUCACUGAAGCCUUACCCACCUGGAGGAAGACUGGAAAUAUGAUCUGGAACCUCAACAGUAAAUGACCUGCUUUCCCUGCAUCAAGGGCACCUGGAAUCCAAAUUAAAAUGCAGAGCAAGUCUCUCAGAAGACGGCAGUAACAGAGACUUGUGGCCAGAGCAAGCUUUUGAUAGGACAAGUCGCAGCUCUUCAGUAAACAAGAAAAAGAAUCUUAAAGAAUAAUGAAAGUUGCUGGAGGGAAAAUGGUUUAGACAGGCUCAGAUUCCCAAGACUGCUUCGCCUGUUUGGAGGUGAAAACAUCAAAGG
rnacentral:lncRNA from 13 species